UACGGGGGGGGCAAGCGUUGUUCGGAAUUACUGGGCGUAAAGGGCUCGUAGGUGGCCAACUAAGUCAGACGUGAAAUCCCUCAGCUUAACUGGGGAACUGCGUCUGAUACUGGAUGGCUUGAGAUUGGGAGAGGGACGCGGAAUUCCAGGUGUAGCGGUGAAAUGCGUAGAUAUCAGGAGGAACACCGAUGGCGAAGGCAGGUCUCUGGGCUGACACUGACGCUCAUGCACGAAAGCGUGGGGAGCAAACAGG
rnacentral:rRNA from 1 species